UACGGGGGGAGCAAGCGUUGUUCGGAUUUACUGGGCGUAAAGGGCGCGUAGGCGGCGUGGUAAGUCACUUGUGAAAUCUCCGGGCUUAACCCGGAAAGGUCAAGUGAUACUGCUGUGCUAGAGUGCGGAAGGGGCAACUGGAAUUCUCGGUGUAGCGGUGAAAUGCGUAGAUAUCGAGAGGAACACCUGCGGCGAAGGCGGGUUGCUGGGCCGACACUGACGCUGAAGCGCGAAAGCUAGGGGAGCGAACGGG
rnacentral:rRNA from 1 species